rnacentral:lncRNA from 1 species
UAAAUGUUUAAGAAAUUCUAAAAAAUUCUUUAAAAAUGAAAUGACCUUUCUACCACAUUCCUUAUAAUAAAUAAUUGUUUUUUUUAUACAUAUUGUAAAGUAAAAAAAAAAGUCUUUGUUUAGUUAACCUAAGAAGACAUUCCUACUUUUCUUUGUGGUGAGAGUCACCUAAAUGGAAUAAAAUAUUCAAUAUCAUAGGAGAGUAAAAAGUAUUGUAGAAAUGAUUUUGUUGAGAGAGUUAUCUAAAUGGAAUGAGAUAUUGGUAGGUGAAUAAAAUAUUAUGGUGAUUGUAAUAGUUGACUUAGUGAGUGGAG